UUCUUAACUGAAAAUAUUUGUAUCAAAGUAAGGAUGAAUAUUUAAUUGCUCAGCAGGUAAUAACAAAAUAAACGUUAUACGUAAGAAAUAAAUAUUUUCUUUGAGAUAUGCUUUGACAGUAGAACAAAUACUGUAAAGUAUUGAAACACAACAUGAUUUGUUCCCAUUUUUGAAAUGACAUAUUGAUUUUUUGAAUGCUGAGUGGUCACAAAAU
rnacentral:lncRNA from 1 species